CCUCACCAACAGUUCUUUUACAAGCAUCAUCUCUCGUGCAUGAAUCACUGAUGGCUUCUGUUUUAAGAAGAUCAACUGCAACUUUGCUACUCACAAACCGAUUAAUUGAACACGUGUCACGUCCAGCGCUCUCACUUCCACUAUUCAUCUUUCAAACACAAAAAACAGUAACUUCAACAGGAAGACUCAAAAAGUUUAUCCUGGCCAGGAAUCAGGAUUCACUCAUCAGGAAGCGAUCUAUCAAUGACAACAGAGACACAGGAUUCCUCUAAUGGACAGAACUUUUUAUGUACUCAAUCAGACAGGCAAAUCUUGAGACCUCAGAUUUUGGGGUUCUACAAAAAUGCCACCAAUUAGUAAUUUUUAUUGUGAGGUAAGGAGAACAUUAAACAUGUAAAUUAAGAACAAUCGUUUGUAAUUGUUAAGGUUUGGGACUUCCACUGGGGAA